rnacentral:rRNA from 1 species
CAGUCGCCACGGGAAUACGAAGGGGGCUAGCGUUGUUCGGAAUUACUGGGCGUAAAGGGCGCGUAGGCGGCCAUUCAAGUUAGAUGUGAAAGCCCUGGGCUCAACCUAGGAAUUGCAUUUGAUACUGUUUGGCUUGAGUUCGGGAGAGGUGAGUGGAAUUCCCAGUGUAGAGGUGAAAUCCGUAGAUAUUCGGAAGAACACCAGUGGCGAAGGCGGCUUACUGGCUCAUUCUAGACGCUGAGGUGCGAAAGCGUGGGGAGCAAACAGGAUUAGAUACCCCUGUAGUCCCUGUCUCUUAUAC